UACGUAGGGGGCUAGCGUUGUCCGGAAUCAUUGGGCGUAAAGCGCGUGUAGGCGGUCCGCUAAGUCUGAUGUGAAAGCCCGGGGCUCACCCCCGGAAGGGCAUUGGAAACUGGCGGACUCGAGUCUCGGAGAGGGAAGGUGGAAUUCCUGGUGUAGCGGUGAAAUUCGUAGAUAUCGGGAGGAACACCGGUGGCGAAGGCGGCGACCUGGGUCGAGACUGACGCUGAGGCGCGAGAGCGUGGGGAGCAACAG
rnacentral:rRNA from 1 species